rnacentral:rRNA from 1 species
AGAGUUUGAUCCUGGCUCAGGACGAACGCUGGCGGCGUGCCUAAUACAUGCAAGUCGAACGCUUUUUCUUUCACCGGAGCUUGCUCCACCGAAAGAAAAGGAGUGGCGAACGGGUGAGUAACACGUGGGUAACCUGCCCAUCAGAAGGGGAUAACACUUGGAAACAGGUGCUAAUACCGUAUAACAAUCGAAACCGCAUGGUUUCGGUUUGAAAGGCGCUUUUGCGUCACUGAUGGAUGGACCCGCGGUGCAUUAGCUAGUUGGUGAGGUAACGGCUCACCAAGGCAACGAUGCAUAGCCGACCUGAGAGGGUGAUCGGCCACAUUGGGACUGAGACACGGCCCAAACUCCUACGGGAGGCAGCAGUAGGGAAUCUUCGGCAAUGGACGCAAGUCUGACCGAGCAACGCCGCGUGAGUGAAGAAGGUUUUCGGAUCGUAAAACUCUGUUGUUAGAGAAGAACAAGGAUGAGAGUAGAAUGUUCAUCCCUUGACGGUAUCUAACCAGAAAGCCACGGCUAACUACGUGCCAGCAGCCGCGGUAAUACGUAGGUGGCAAGCGUUGUCCGGAUUUAUUGGGCGUAAAGCGAGCGCAGGCGGUUUCUUAAGUCUGAUGUGAAAGCCCCCGGCUCAACCGGGGAGGGUCAUUGGAAACUGGGAAACUUGAGUGCAGAAGAGGAGAGUGGAAUUCCAUGUGUAGCGGUGAAAUGCGUAGAUAUAUGGAGGAACACCAGUGGCGAAGGCGGCUCUCUGGUCUGUAACUGACGCUGAGGCUCGAAAGCGUGGGGAGCAAACAGGAUUAGAUACCCUGGUAGUCCACGCCGUAAACGAU